rnacentral:lncRNA from 1 species
UUAAUGCAUUAAAAUGACCUAUGUUUUGGAUGGGCUGGAGGAUAAAAUGAGAAAACAAUGAUUGUUAUAUUAAUAAGCACAUAUCUCUAACCUAAAGCCACUUCUUUUCCACCUACUUCCUUUUUUUUUUUCCUUUUUUUUUUCCUUUUUUUUUUUUUUUUUUGUGAAUGUGACAGAUGCAGAAAAUUUCCUGGUAGCUUAAACAAACAUAUGGCAACCAAAUAUUUUUGGAAAGGUGCUCACAAAAAGCUCUCUCUCCUGUAUCAUGUAUUAGCAAUACCCUGUACAUUGUCUAGGAAAGUUCCAUGGCCAUAACAGUUGUAGGACAUAGGUGGCUGAAAAGAUUCACAGUGUACUUUGGGCCAAGAUGCAUAUUUCUGUUCUGCAUUAGUAUUAUAGUCUAUGCAAAAUAAUCUAUUUAUUUUAGUAUCUGUGUUUUAUUUCUGUAACUCCACCUACAGCUAUUCCUUGAAUGGUUUAAAAAUGUAUGCUCACAGCCCUAGGAUUGCCUACAGCUGCCUGCAUCAAGACACAGAUGGUGUUUGAGCAGCUAACCCGUGUUUCAUUAAUACAUUUGAGCCAUGUCUGCUGACAGUUCCUCCUUCACCAUUCUGAUAUGCAUAUUUUAUUGAGAAAACACUCUCCUUGCUGCUCAUUAGUCAACAGUAGUUUAUGGAGGGUAUGAGUGUCAGUGACAUACACUGCUCCAGAUUCCAAAUGCCUCAAAGACUGAGUAAACUCACAUUCAAGAGUUUGGGCAAUUUGAUGGUGUUUUUUUUAUGCUAAUCCAUCGGUAAAAUCAGACUGAAAAAAUUUAAGCAUCUUCCCUGACCGUGUGUCAUUUGGGAUGUUUCCCUGCAGGCAGAAAGGGGCUGGCAGAGCGCUGCAGGACCUGCUGCUGCCUUUAUUUAAGGGAAGGUUUGGCACAGAAAUACUCCCAACACUGGGUGCUGCGCUUCUUGCAAGCUUCCACAUGGUGGCACAGACGGUUCACUCUUCCAAACCUCUCCGCCGGGCUGCAGGAGGAAGAAAACCUGCAGUGGAAAAAGGAAGAUCGAUUUACAGAAGGAGAAAAUCACUGGGAAGUAAAAGUGGAGCUUCUAAGAUAUCUGACCAGCUCUUCUUAACUGACACUGAGUCAGUUCAAGAUUUACAUGUAUUUCUGAUUCCCAGAGAGCCUUAACAAGCACGGAUGUUUCUGGCACCUCUCCACAUCUGGGAUGUGUUGCACUUCCAGGGCAGGCUGUUCUGCCCAACACCUUGGUACCCAGAAGGAAUUACAACUCACCUGGACAUGUAUGCCAGCCUUCAUUCGUUUGGCUGGUGAGCUGAUGAAUUACAGCACGUAUCCACUUUUGUAGAGACAUACUGGUGCUUGGUAAAUCAAAAGGAAGUCCCUGGAUUUCCUCACUUUGCCCACCAUAAUGCACAAUAAAAAUUACACCCUUUGAACUUUCA